GCAGGUGGAAUGUGGUCGCCCCGCUUUCGGCGGGGAGGAAAGUCCGGGCUCCGGAGGAUAGCGCAGUAGGGUAAUGCCUACCCUUUGGUAACUAACCAAAGAGGAUUAUCCCGCAAGGUUAGCUUUUAAAAGCUAACCUUGCGGGAUCAUUGCCUGAGAUGUAAACGCAGGCAAUGAGAGCCACAGAGACGAGUAGCCGUUGAAGAUUGUGAUGAGUAAGAUCCUGAGCCGCCUAUGGCGGCUCAGGAUCAUCUCGCAGUCUUCGACUGCGAGAUGAAACGAGGCAAUCUCUGCGUGGAGCAAGGCGAAUAGGAGAUAAUCUACUAGGUAUGUUGAGUGGAACGCGCUGGUCCGGCGCGUCAUUAAUCUCGGGUAUUAAGCUGCUUGAGCUUCGAUGGUAACAUCGGCGUCGAGAGGAAUGAUCACUAAUCGAUAGCGAAAAAUCGCAUCAAGACAGAACCCGGCUUAUUUCACCUGCUUUU
rnacentral:RNase_P_RNA from 1 species